UUUAAAGCAUAGAGCUGAUUCUCUGAUAAUUGGUGGUUGAGUUUAGGAGUAGCCCUAUAAGGCUAGUCUCACAGUAAUUAUUGUGGUAUUUGUUUUAUUCUGAUCGAGAUCCUUAUAUACAAGUCUUUGCUACGUUCCACACAGCUUAGGAUACUUUCAAUAAUUCCAGGUUGCACCUAUCCUUGUGACAAGGAAAAGUGCCUAUUUUGUCCAAAUUAGUUCCACUGAGUUAAACAAACCAGAAAGUAACAGGAC